rnacentral:rRNA from 1 species
UUUUUUAUGGAGAGUUUGAUCCUGGCUCAGGACGAACGCUGGCGGCGUGCUUAACACAUGCAAGUCGAACGGAAAGGCCUAGCUUGCUAGGUACUCGAGUGGCGAACGGGUGAGUAACACGUGGGUGAUCUGCCUCGUACUUCGGGAUAAGCCUGGGAAACUGGGUCUAAUACUGGAUAGGACCAUGCUUUAGUGUGUGUGGUGGAAAGUUUUUUCGGUACGAGAUGAGCCCGCGGCCUAUCAGCUUGUUGGUGGGGUAAUGGCCUACCAAGGCGUCGACGGGUAGCCGGCCUGAGAGGGUGGACGGCCACAUUGGGACUGAGAUACGGCCCAGACUCCUACGGGAGGCAGCAGUGGGGAAUAUUGCACAAUGGGCGCAAGCCUGAUGCAGCGACGCCGCGUGGGGGAUGACGGCCUUCGGGUUGUAAACCUCUUUCGCUAGGGACGAAGCUUUUUGUGACGGUACCUAGAUAAGAAGCACCGGCUAACUACGUGCCAGCAGCCGCGGUAAUACGUAGGGUGCGAGCGUUGUCCGGAAUUACUGGGCGUAAAGAGCUCGUAGGUGGUUUGUCGCGUCGUCUGUGAAAUUCCGGGGCUUAACUUCGGGCGUGCAGGCGAUACGGGCAUAACUUGAGUGCUGUAGGGGAGACUGGAAUUCCUGGUGUAGCGGUGGAAUGCGCAGAUAUCAGGAGGAACACCGAUGGCGAAGGCAGGUCUCUGGGCAGUAACUGACGCUGAGGAGCGAAAGCAUGGGGAGCGAACAGGAUUAGAUACCCUGGUAGUCCAUGCCGUAAACGGUGGGCGCUAGGUGUGAGGGUCUUCCACGACUUUCGUGCCGUAGCUAACGCAUUAAGCGCCCCGCCUGGGGAGUACGGCCGCAAGGCUAAAACUCAAAGGAAUUGACGGGGGCCCGCACAAGCGGCGGAGCAUGUGGAUUAAUUCGAUGCAACGCGAAGAACCUUACCUGGGCUUGACAUAUGCAGGAUCGGCGUAGAGAUACGUUUUCCCUUGUGGUCUGUAUACAGGUGGUGCAUGGUUGUCGUCAGCUCGUGUCGUGAGAUGUUGGGUUAAGUCCCGCAACGAGCGCAACCCUUGUCUUAUGUUGCCAGCACGUGAUGGUGGGGACUCAUGAGAGACUGCCGGGGUUAACUCGGAGGAAGGUGGGGAUGACGUCAAAUCAUCAUGCCCCUUAUGUCCAGGGCUUCACACAUGCUACAAUGGUCGGUACAACGCGCUGCGAGCCUGUGAGGGUGAGCGAAUCGCUGAAAGCCGGCCUCAGUUCGGAUUGGGGUCUGCAACUCGACCCCAUGAAGUCGGAGUCGCUAGUAAUCGCAGAUCAGCAACGCUGCGGUGAAUACGUUCCCGGGCCUUGUACACACCGCCCGUCACGUCAUGAAAGUUGGUAACACCCGAAGCCAGUGGCCUAACCCUUGUGGGGGCACUGU